rnacentral:lncRNA from 1 species
GCCAGGCUUGGCGGCUCUUUCUCUCCCAAGGCAGAGGAGAUCGUUGGGUUUCAAGGCCCCGCGGGCAUUUCUCGCCGGCCCUGCGGAGAGGUGAGGCAAGGCGUCGUGUCAUAGAUGCCUGAGUGCUCUCUAGGGAGACGAUGCCCGUGGGGUCGCGCCUGCUCGAGCGAACGGGAAGAGAAGGUGCCACGCCCUCCUCCCGGAUUCACGCCUUGUGCUGGGCGACGCCGCUGCCUGCUGCCCCGACUUGCCCAGCUCGCCCCAAGGGGCGAGGACUGAGGAAAGCACUGCCUUUCUGUUCUUAAAGCGAACCUUUGAAGGCCUGGGCUUCGCGCCCGGCUUCUUUCUCAGCCGUUGUUUCCGUUUUUUGGUGACAAGAGGCUAGUAAUCUCGUCAGGAGCCAACGUAAGAGUUCUUCACUACCACAACCAAGGAGGGAUAUGAUAGGCGGCCAGUGGAUAUAACUCCUUUAGAACAAAGGAAAUUAACUUUUGAUACCCAUGCAUUGGUUCAGGACUUGGAAACUCAUGGAAAUAACAGUACAACAGCUAAUGGCUCAUUUGGAUGCUAUCAGGAAAGACAUGGUCAUCCUAGAGAAAAGUGAAUUUGCAAAUCUGAGAGCAGAGAAUGAGAAAAUGAAAAUUGAAUUAGACCAAGUUAAGCAACAACUAAUGCAUGAAACCAGUCGAAUCAGAGCAGAUAAUAAACUGGAUAUCAACUUAGAAAGGAGCAGAGUAACA